CGGGGUGUAGCGCAGCCUGGUAGCGCAUCUGCUUUGGGAGCAGGGUGUCGGGGGUUCAAAUCCCUCCACCCCGACCA
rnacentral:tRNA from 2 species